rnacentral:rRNA from 1 species
UACAGAGGGGGGCAAGCGUUAUUCGGAAUUAUUGGGCGUAAAGGGCGCGUAGGCGGCCUGCUAAGUCGAACGUGAAAUCCCUGGGCUCAACCCAGGAACUGCGUCCGAUACUGGUUGGCUUGAAUCCGGGAGAGGGAUGUGGAAUUCCAGGUGUAGCGGUGAAAUGCGUAGAUAUCUGGAGGAACACCGGUGGCGAAGGCGACAUCCUGGACCGGUAUUGACGCUGAGGCGCGAAAGCCAGGGGAGCAAACGGG